AGUAAGGUGGCUGAAAUUAAUAGGUGAUAAAUUGUAAAUUUAUUUAUAAAUAGAAAUAUUUUCUUACUA
rnacentral:tRNA from 1 species